CCUACGGGGGGCAGCAGUGGGGAAUAUUGGACAAUGGGCGAAAGCCUGAUCCAGCCAUGCCGCGUGUGUGAAGAAGGCCUUCGGGUUGUAAAGCACUUUCAGUGGGGAAGAAAGCCUUGGGGCUAAUACCCUCGAGGAAGGACAUCACCCACAGAAGAAGCACCGGCUAACUCCGUGCCAGCAGCCGCGGUAAUACGGAGGGUGCGAGCGUUAAUCGGAAUUACUGGGCGUAAAGCGCGCGUAGGCGGUCUGAUAAGCCGGUUGUGAAAGCCCCGGGCUCAACCUGGGAACGGCAUCCGGAACUGUCAGGCUAGAGUGCAGGAGAGGAAGGUAGAAUUCCCGGUGUAGCGGUGAAAUGCGUAGAGAUCGGGAGGAAUACCAGUGGCGAAGGCGGCCUUCUGGACUGACACUGACGCUGAGUUGCGAAAGCGUGGGUAGCAAACAGGAUUAGAUACCCCGGUAGUC
rnacentral:rRNA from 1 species